CGAAAGUUAGAGGUUCGAAGGCGAUCAGAUACCGCCCUAGUUCUAACCAUAAACGAUGCCAACUAGCGAUCCGCCUGAGUUCCUCAAAUGACUCGGCGGGCAGCUUCCGGGAAACCAAAGUGUUUGGGUUCCGGGGGAAGUAUGGUUGCAAAGCUGAAACUUAAAGGAAUUGACGGAAGGGCACCACCAGGAGUGGAGCCUGCGGCUUAAUUUGACUCAACACGGGAAAACUUACCCGGCCCGGACACUGGAAGGAUUGACAGAUUAAGAGCUCUUUCUUGAUUCAGUGGGUGGUGGUGCAUGGCCGUUCUUAGUUGGUGGAGCGAUUUGUCUGGUUAAUUCCGAUAACGAACGAGACUCUAGCCUACUAAAUAGGCGUUCCGAUCCUUUAUGUCGGACGUUCUUCUUAGAGGGACAAGCGGCUUUUAGCCGCACGAGACAGAGCAAUAACAGGUCUGUGAUGCCCUUAGAUGUCCGGGGCCGCACGCGCGCUACACUGAAGGAAUCAGCGUGUGCUUUCCCUGUCUGUUAGGACUGGGUAACCCGUUAAACCUCCUUCGUGAUAGGGAUAGGGAUUUGUAAUUGUUCCCUUGAACGAGGAAUUCCCAGUAAGCACGAGUCAUAAGCUCGUGUUGAUUACGUCCCUGCCCUUUGUACACACCGCCCGUCGCUACUACCGAUUGAAUGAUUUAGUGAGGUCUUCGGACUGGCGCUCGUAGCGACCUUUGGCCGCGCCGACGUGCCGGAAAGAUGACCAAACUUGAUCAUU
rnacentral:rRNA from 2 species